rnacentral:lncRNA from 1 species
GUUUGAAUGACUCAUCUAUUGCAUUCAGUCUCUCCAUCCUGCAACACCUAUUUGCCAAUUGCUAAUUAGCUGGCAUUGAAUUUUCCAAAUAGUACUGAAUACUUUUUCUGUGAUAAAUUUGUUUAAAGAAACACAUUUGACUCCCCUUGGAGAGAAAGUGGAGUUGAUGUAUGUUACAAGGAGGGACACAUUUUCUUUAAGCAUACAGCAAGAUGUCUGAUUGCAGAAGGUUUAACCAGAAGGACAGAAAGGCACAGAGAGACUCAUAGAUUUUGGAGUUCUACUGAGGCAGCGGUGCCACGGGGAAAGAUGCAGGAUGCUGGUCCUCCGCUACCAACCAAAGGGUGCGAUCUGACUUCCCAGAAGGCACAUGGCAGGAGGCAAGGGAACGGUUGUAUUGUGCCCGUAGCAUUAGUCAGAACUAGACAGGAUUUAAACAGCAGAGCCAUUCUAAGUAGCAAGGCACAAGAAAUUAGAUGAUUUUCUGAGGCCUGGGUAAGUUUGUAUUCACAACAGGUAAUGACAGCAUUAUAAAACCUAAGCACAUUAGAGUUGGAGUCAUUAGGUUUCAAGUACUCACAUCAUCUCAGAAAGUUUUACCCACCAUUUAAUUUAUGGA